rnacentral:rRNA from 1 species
GAUGAACGCUAGCGGCAGGCUUAAUACAUGCAAGUCGUGGGGCAGCAGGGGUAGCAAUACCCGCUGGCGACCGGCAAACGGGUGCGGAACACGUACGCAACCUUCCUUUAACUGGAGAAUAGCCCCCUCGAAAGAGGGAUUAAUACUCCGUAACAUAUUGAUAAGGCAUCUUAUUACUAUUAUAGCUCCGGCGGUUAAAGAUGGGCGUGCGCCUGAUUAGAUAGUUGGCAGGGUAACGGCCACCAAGUCUGCGAUCAGUAACUGGUGUGAGAGCACGACCAGUCACACGGGCACUGAGACGCGGGCCCGACUCCUACGGGAGGCAGCAGUAAGGAAUAUUGGUCAAUGGACGCAAGUCUGAACCAGCCAUGUCGCGUGGA